rnacentral:pre_miRNA from 1 species
AGGAUACGCCUGCCCCGCUCGAUUAUCACUGAUGAUUAAUUUUCAAAAGAAGAAUAUCACUGAUGAAAUCUUGCGGCGGCUUGUGUCC